GACGAACGCUGGCGGCGUGCUUAACACAUGCAAGUCGAACGAAGUGGCGAACGGGUGAGUAAUACGUGGGUAACCUGCCCUCCUUUUUGGGAUAAGCCUUGGAAACGGGGUCUAAUACCGAAUAAAGGGGGAUGGGCUCGCGGCCUAUCAGCUUGUUGGUGGGGUGAUGGCCUACCAAGGCGGUGACGGGUAGCCGGCCUGAGGGGGUGACCGGGCACGUGGGGACGGAGAUGCGGCCCAGACGUCGACGGGGGGGGGAAGUGGGGGAUAGUGCAGAAUGGGCGAAAGCUGGAUGAAGCGAGGCCGCGGGGGGGAUGAAGACUUUGGGUUUGUAAACGUCUUGAGCAAUCGAACGGGUAGGUGAAGAAGAAGCGCCGGCUAACUACGUGCCAGCAGCCGCGGUAAUAC
rnacentral:rRNA from 1 species